GCGCGUUGCGUGUCACGAAGUAACGAGCGAAGCACUCUCCGCGAACGGGUUUUACACUCGACGAGAGCAAUCGCGUUACUGCGGAGCGGCAGGCGUGGCGGCGCUGCAAUCGCACUCGAGCUUUCGAGGACAGAGCGGCACCGAUGGAGGGGGAGAGCCACGCGAGGAUCUCGGGUGGGGGAAGCUGAACCGAAGCCACGGCGAAAGGAGCGUCGGAAGGGAGCAGGCUCACGCACACGAAUCGAAAGGUGGGGAGCCACGUGAGCGCCCGAUGCCCGGUGUCCACGCAACACGACGUGGGACUCGCCUUACCUUGCGUUACCUUGCCUUCCCAUGCCCGAGCCUCGCUCGCAUCGUAUUGCCACCCCUGCCGCUCUCGAGAACCCUUUUGUUUUUUUCGUCCCCCCUUCCCUUUCUUCUUCUUCUUCUUCUUCUUCCUCUUCUUUUUACGUUUUCCACAACUUUCACGUUUCUUUGCCAAUGUACCGUUGUUGCCGCGUUUUCACGAUUUUGGGAUUCGAUUGGGAAAUUGGAAGUAUACAGAUCGCAUGAUAAAACAAGAAUUAGAUCAGAAGGUAUUACGGGUCAACGAAAAGUGUUCGAAGAGUAAUCAUUAUUAUUAUUAUUAUUACAAUGAUAAUCUUAAUAAAAUGUCGGAAGUUUUAAGAUGUGUAAUUUUAUGAUGUAUCGAUAUCAACAAUUUCAUGCGAAAAUAUAAAAUACAAAAAAAGGAUCAAUGAUUUUGAGAAUGUUUUAUGAUUGGAAAAAAAAAUUCAUACCGAUUUUUUCGAAACAUUUGUCAAACUUUUCUCCCGAGGAAAUGUUCAAAUUUUCAAAAUUGUUUUCAAAAAAAAAUUCCCGAUAUUCCGUUUCGACUACGAUACAUUGAACUACGUUUUCUGAAAUAAUAUCCUCUAAUAAGCGAUAACAUCGAAGACGAAGUCACGUCGAUCGAUCCAGCAAAUAUUCAUGGCAUGAUUGGGGACAACUCGGUGAACAUCGUCCGUUGAAGAGCAGUUCAACCUUCUAAAUCACCAGUGGAUCCAAGGAACCAGUCCAGGAUUUAUUCUACUAAGAUCGGAGAAGACCAAAAGUCCAAUUUAUCGUGUUCAGGGUCAAGUUGAACACAUUUGUACGACGUGAUGAAGAAGGAUGGUCUAUCCUGACGCGUGGCGCGUGCGAAAACGACCACAUCUCGUGCACUGCAUUGUAGUUCGAACCUUAUUUUCUUCCCUCCCCCUUUUCACACCUCCCUUUUACAGGUUAUAUUUUCCGAUCUCUCUUAUUUGGAUUACUAUAUGGACUCUGUUUCGAUCGUGAAUCCAAAAUCUAGGAGAAAAGGAAUCGCCGACUUUCCACGAUCGUUCUCCUGUUCGGGAAAAAUUCUAAUUUCGAAAUGACCGUAACGAUGUAAUAAACUGUGAAAGUAAUUUAAGAUUAAAAAGUAAUCGAAUGGAUAUUUAACUAGUAAAGAAAUUUCAUGCUCUCGAGAUGCGAAAUGGACGAAGAAGAUGAACUCGACGAAAAAAUAUAUACAACUCUCUGCAAAGAUAUUGGCCAAGAAAAAAAACCUGACUUCGUUGCCCUCGAUCUUCUCUUGGACACCAUCAGUUUCGUUUCACCGUUUCGAGGAGAGGGUAAAAAUGACCCAAAUUACAGAAUCAGAAUUUUGCAAAGAAAAUUAUACGAUGUUAUAAUUUCCAAUUCUCUUACAAUACUAAUAAUAAAACGACGACAAGGAUAUUGUUAAACUUUACGUUUUAAAUAUUAUUACACGUAAAACUGAUUAUUAAAAAUUGAUUAAUUAACUAAAACUAUG